rnacentral:rRNA from 1 species
AGUGAACGCUGGCGGUAGGCCUAACACAUGCAAGUCGAACGGCAGCACAGUAAGAGCUUGCUCUUACGGGUGGCGAGUGGCGGACGGGUGAGGAAUACAUCGGAAUCUACUUUUUCGUGGGGGAUAACGUAGGUAAACUUACGCUAAUACCGCAUACGACCUACGGGUGAAAGCAGGGGAUCUUCGGACCUUGCGCGAUUGAAUGAGCCGAUGUCGGAUUAGCUAGUUGGCGGGGUAAAGGCCCACCAAGGCGACGGUCCGUAGCUGGUCUGAGAGGAUGAUCAGCCACACUGGAACUGAGACACGGUCCAGACUCCUACGGGAGGCAGCAGUGGGGAAUAUUGGACAAUGGGCGCAAGACUGAUCCAGCCAUACCGCGUGGGUGAAGAAGGCCUUCGGGUUGUAAAGCCCUUUUGUUGGGAAAGAAAAGCAGCAGGUUAAUACCCCGCUGUUCUGACGGUACACAAAGAAUAAGCACCGGCUAACUUAGUG